rnacentral:rRNA from 1 species
UAAUACAUGCAAGUCGAACGAGAUCUUCGGAUCUAGUGGCGCACGGGUGCGUAACGCGUGGGAAUCUGCCCUUGGGUUCGGAAUAACGUCGGGAAACUGACGCUAAUACCGGAUGAUGACGAAAGUCCAAAGAUUUAUCGCCCAGGGAUGAGCCCGCGUAGGAUUAGCUAGUUGGUGGGGUAAAGGCUCACCAAGGCUACGAUCCUUAGCUGGUCUGAGAGGAUGAUCAGCCACACUGGGACUGAGACACGGCCCAGACUCCUACGGGAGGCAGCAGUAGGGAAUAUUGGACAAUGGGGGCAACCCUGAUCCAGCAAUGCCGCGUGAGUGAUGAAGGCCUUAGGGUUGUAAAGCUCUUUUACCCGAGAUGAUAAUGACAGUAUCGGGAGAAUAAGCUCCGGCUAACUCCGUGCCAGCAGCCGCGGUAAUACGGAGGGAGCUAGCGUUGUUCGGAAUUACUGGGCGUAAAGCGCACGUAGGCGGCGAUUUAAGUCAGAGGUGAAAGCCCGGGGCUCAACCCCGGAACUGCCUUUGAGACUGGAUUGCUAGAAUCUUGGAGAGGCGGGUGGAAUUCCGAGUGUAGAGGUGAAUUCGUAGAUAUUCGGAAGAACACCAGUGGCGAAG